rnacentral:rRNA from 1 species
AACGUAGGGGGCGAGCGUUGUCCGGAAUUACUGGGCGUAAAGGGCGUGUAGGCGGCAUAGCAAGUCCAUAGUGAAACCCGACGGCUCAACCGUCGACGUGCUAUAGAAACUGCUAAGCUUGAGUGCAGGAGAGGGGAGUGGAAUUCCCAGUGUAGCGGUGAAAUGCGUAGAUAUUGGGAGGAACACCAGUGGCGAAAGCGGCUCCCUGGCCUGUAACUGACGCUGAGGCGCGAAAGCGUGGGUAGCAAACAGGAUUAGAUACCCGCGUAGUCC